GAGGCCGCGGCGGCCCCGGGGAAGGGGUGCGGGAGGCCUCGGCCCUCCCGCCGGGUGGCGGGUGGCCCGGCAUAGCGCUUCCCCCCCCGCCCCAUCCCAGCGGGAGGAGGAGGAGGAGGAGGAGGAAGGCGGCGGGGGCUGCCGGUGCCGCCGCCUCGCCCACACCGGCGGCCGGCCCCGCGGAGCCGCCGCCCGUCGCGCCUGCGGGGCGGUGGCGCCCCACCCCUCCCCCCACCCGAGCACUCCCCCGCCCUGGGCCUCGUCGGCCGCCGUCCGUCUCCCCAGGUGAACGCGUAUCCCUCCGCCGCGGCCGCCCCCACCGUCGGGCUCGCAGCCCUGCAGUCCCCGGAUGGAAACUGUUAUGGCCGCCAACAGCGCCUCGCCGGGCUAUGGAGAGCGGCGAGACCUUUUUGCAGUAUUCCUCCUGACUGUGGCCUUUUCUGAGUCUUACAUAUUUACCUCUUCUAUGUGUGUGGAAAAACGUUGAAAAGGCUGUUGAAGAAUUGAACUCAAGUCUUUUCUUCAUGUGUAAGUCUGACUUCUUGUUUGGUAAUGUACAUUUAAAGAUCCAUGGAAUUUAUUUUUUUUUAUUACUAGUUGGCUGUUUCUAGUAAAUAUUUUUAUUUGUCGUUCUGCAGGUGCUUGUCAAUAGUACAUGCUACCCAAUAAUAACAAGGUUAAAUUGUAAUUUGUGUGGUUAAUUAGUUAAAGGAGAUUUCAAAUCAGGUUUGCAUAUCCCCAACUGAGACUCUUUGCCAAACAUAAAUGUUUUAUCCAGUUAGCAAAAUGUUGCCCAACUGAGGACAAUGUUGGCCCCAUGUUAAAAGUCUGAGGCUUGUUCCCUGCAGCAUAGUUUACCCACUUUGGAUUUUUAUAGUGUUAAUUGCAUACGUAUUUCAGCUGUUAGUAUUUGACAGUGUAACAUUUUAAUCUGAAUGAUAGGCAGCUACCAUCAGGAUGAUGUAUUGCAUCAUGCAACCUGUGAUCGUUAUGCGUUGCAUCUGUGUAUUAAUAAAGUUCUUCAAGCUAACAAGUCCAAGUCACUUUUAGUUACUUAUUCUUUAUGUGGGAGUUCAGCUUGCUCCUGUUCAAAUAAGGGAUUUACCAUGGACAAGAGAAAGUGUUAUAAUACGGUACUCUCUUGGUGAAAAUGGAGUGUAAUGUAGGUGAGUUGUUCUCUUCUGAAGGCUCAAAGUGGAGUAAUAUCCCAUGUAUUAAUCUCCUCUGUGGAAGAGGGGAAAUGUAUCAUUGAGUUUAAAAAUAAAAAUCCUGUACCUAAAUUGUUUUAGUUUGGAAAGACUCCCAAGGAGGGAGUGUGUGUGCGCCCAUGUCUGUGAUAUGUAGGGGUUUUUUGGUUUUUUUGAAUGUCAAAUGUAUAGUUGAAAUAUUACAGGUCUCAUAGCUGAAGAACACAGUUAAUUGAAUUUAUUUGAUAUUGGAGUCUGUAUAAAAUGUCAAAGUCUGUUUUGCUUAUUAUUGUCAAGAAUUGUGCAGAAAUGCUAAUAUCUUUUCCAAAGGAAUGCAAUAAAGCAUAUGCUUAAAAAAAAAAAAAGCUUUUCUUGCUAUGUGAUAUGCGAACAUUGCCUUGAAAAUUUUGCAGUCUCCAUUUUCUUUGUCAGGUAUUUACAUGUGUGAUGCUAGAUACUUCCUUCUCACAGGACUAUAGGAAAAUAUUUGCAAGACAGUGGUGAUGCUUAUGAUGGCCUGGAGCUCUAGAAGCAGUUCUUGAACUUCAUCACAAUGAGGGAGGGGAUGUGGUCAUUCUUUCAGUUUGAAUGUGAAUAAAGAGGAUGAUGUAAUGAGUUCCAAGUCUGUUGCUUCAGGGUGGGCAGGAGAACAGUGGAGAGAGAGCUGCUGAUCAGAUUUCAGCUAACACUUCACUAACUUUUGCUAGUAAAGAAGAAAGUGAUGCUGUGACUUCUACUACAGAAAAGUUUUUAGUAAAAAGUGUUAUAGAGUAGUGAAGAAACAGUUCUUCAUUUUCAGUUUCACUUUUUGAAAUUCAAGUUAUUUUCGCUGCUAUUCCAUUUCUAUUGAUUUUAUGCUGACAUGUGGGAGUGUUGUUUCAGCAUACACUUGAGCUACUAUAAAUUGUCAGUGCAGCCUGUUAUAGAAACACUGAUAUUAAGUCUGUAGCAAGACAAUGAUGCUGACCAUACCUGUUUCAGCCUCUUAAUCCAUAGAGGAGUACUGUUGUCAGUCAUGCACUUGCUCUGAAAAGAUUAACCUAUACCCAGGAACAUAUGGUGAGGAAACAGGGGUAAUAUUAUAUUUGUUGACUACUUCAGACUUGUGUGAUACUGAAGGUAGGCAUGCGAAAAAUUCAUUGUAGAGGAGUGUGGUGGGUUUUUUGGUGUUGAUAAGGGUAAUGUCUCCAUUAGUGAAGUAGAUCUUUUGUCAGACUUCGAUUUUGUUUUUUUCUUUUCUUUUUAAGCACAAUAGUUAGCUACCAAUAGAGUAGCAGACUUGAGUAACAAAAGUAUCAACUCCUCCUGCUGAAUUUGACUUGUGUUUAGUACUUCAGCUAGGUUCGGCUAGUGAUCCAUGUCACAGAGGAGCUGCUGUGUUUAUAUUUGCUUCAAAUCCUGAAUAAUAAAUGCUAGCUUCAUCUUAAAGAAGCAGCUUGUGGGAUUUCUCAUGCUUACAGACUGUCCUGG
rnacentral:lncRNA from 1 species